CCAAAAUGGUGUCAGCAGGAUUAUGGCCGUGGCUGAGGAGACUGGCUGUUCUAUGUUGGCUGCCGCCUGAGCUGACUGAUGGCAGCAGCAGGAUGAGCCAUCCCUCAGCAGAUUUGCUUUCUGAAGUGAAAGCCUGUCUGGUUUAAAACCUCUGAUUCAUCAAGGGAAAAAAACAAACAGGUCAUGCUCAAGGGCUCAGAAACACUCAAAUGCAGUAGAAGUUGCAUGAGCCUCAUUGGAGGAAUCAGUGAAAAGUGCUACUGGAUUCUUUAAAACUGUCUUGUAGGUGAUGGCUGCUGCCAUUGAGUCUGCAAGCUUUGAGGAGGAACAGCUUCCUAAUAAGAGAGAAAGUAUGAUCUGGAAGCCCAGAAAAGAAUGUUUGCUGAAGAAUAUUCCAAAUGUCCUUGAUAGUGAGUCUGAAGAAAGUGAAUUCUCUGAUAUCUCUCACAAUGAGAAUGAUGUUAGUGGCUCUCCCGUUGACUGUGUCCGUGUACAUUCUGACUUGGAAGACUUAGAUGAUGACGUCUCCGGUAUGCCUGAGGCUGUAACUUUUCCAGAGCUGCAGACUGCUUCUGAGUACGAGGCAGAGGAGGACUGGGAUAAAGAACUGGAAGACUCUGAAUGUAAUCCUUAUGGUGAGUACAAAUUUAUUUGUGCUUCAUUUGAGUUUUGGUUAGUAUGUGAUUGGAGGUAGAUGAUUUGUAGGAGAAUAUGUUUGAAUAACUCCAUGUUCCAUUUUGGGAAGCAAUUUUUUUGUUGUUGUUAAUGGAUUUGUAAUGCAUAAUUUUGUUGUCAAAUACAGGAUUUAAAGGCAGUCUUAUGAAGUUGACAUGAAACUCUUGCUUAAGCAAUUGAAUUCUUAGGGAGUGGAACUAUAGGGAGAAGAAUUGUAUGCAUGUAUUGAGUUUCUCUGGAGAAGGUAGGUCUCAGUAGUAUAUCUUUGUUAUUCUGAAACAGAAGAGAAAGGUACAUGGAGUGCAGGAAUGUAACUUUUCAGUGUAAAAGGAGUUCUUCCUUUGCUCCAAGAAAUUUUAUCCACACUGUAGACUGUAAUGUCCCUCUAGAGCAUGGAGUUCUUUGGAGGGGAGCAGUACAAGCAAUUAGUCUCUGAGUAUGGUUUGUUGUUGCUUUUGCUCUAGGGUUUUUUGUUUGUGUUUUUUUGGUGGUAGGAUUCUUUUGAGUCUGUUUGGUUGGGUUUUUUUAAGCUUGAUCCUUUUAAAUGCAGGCGUUUUUACAGGUGUUACUCUCGUGUUGAACUGAGAGUCUCAAUCUUCCAUUUGCCAGGUUGGAUGUUAGGAUAGAAGUGGACGGAGUUUAUCCAGCAGUGGUGACCUGCUGUGUCUUUGUUGAUGCAGAAUAGUACUGUUCAUGUUUUCUUCUAAUUAAUGCGUAUCUUUUGUAAUUAAUACAAACACAUCUUUCUUUGCUCAGGAAAUAUCAAUUCUCUGUUCAUUUUCAUUCCAUAAAUGGCUGUUGUAUUAAAGUUCCGUUGAAGGAAGUUGGAAUGAUUUUGCAGCCUUCCUAUAAAAUCAUUCUGAUUUUAAAAUGAAAAUACAGAAGUGCUUUUUCACGUUAGGUAAUCUGGGAAAAAGACUGUUUCAUUUUUGGAUGUUUUCCUCUCUUCCAUCGUGGGUUUGCCUUUUAAUCUCUCAUAUGCUCAAAUUUAUGGAAUGUUUUGUCAUUAUUUUUAUUUUGUUCUACUGGAACUGUCACAAGUUCUCUUCCUCUAUUUAACUAACUCAUCCCUAUCUGUAGCUUACGCUCUUCAAAUCCUGACAAACUAAGGAAGCUGUGAUUAUGGGAUUCAGGUGCUUGUGAAGGAUACUGAGUACAAGUGCCUGAGUUGUUAACUGCUACAAAUAAAAAACAUGCUUGCUUGAUCA
ensembl:lncRNA